rnacentral:rRNA from 1 species
AGCCUGAGACGUGAUGCGUAGCCGAUUGAGGCGAAUUCAGUGAUCCUAUGCUGCCGAGAAAAGCCUCUAGCGAGCUUUCACACGGCCCGUACCCCAAACCGACACAGGUGGUCAGGUAGAGAAUACUAAGGCGAUCGAGAUAACUAUGGUUAAGGAACUCGGCAAAAUGCCCCCGUAACUUCGGGAGAAGGGGGGCCCUGUCUGGUGACGACAUUUACUGUCUGAGCUGGGUGGGGCCGCAGAGACCAGUGAGAAGCGACUGUUUACUAAAAACACAGGUCCGUGCGAAGUCGUAAGACGAUGUAUACGGACUGACGCCUGCCCGGUGCUGGAAGGUUAAGAGGACCGGUUAGUUCCUUCGGGAGCGAAGCUGAGAAUUUAAGCCCCAGUAAACGGCGGUGGUAACUAUAACCAUCCUAAGGUAGCGAAAUUCCUUGUCGGGUAAGUUCCGACCUGCACGAAUGGCGUAACGACUUCUCAGCUGUCUCAACCGUAGACUCGGCGAAAUUGCAUUACGAGUAAAGAUGCUCGUUACGCGCGGCAGGACGAAAAGACCCCGGGACCUUCACUACAGCUUGGUAUUGGUGUUCGGUUCGGUUUGUGUAGGAUAGGUGGGAGACUGUGAAACGGUGACGCCAGUUAUCGUGGAGUCGUUGUUGAAAUACCACUCUGAUCGAAUUGGACCUCUAACCUCGGACCAUGAUCUGGUUCAGGGACAGUGCCUGGUGGGUAGUUUAACUGGGGCGGUUGCCUCCCAAAAUGUAACGGAGGCGCCCAAAGGUUCCCUCAGCCUGGUUGGCAAUCAGGUGUCGAGUGCAAGUGCACAAGGGAGCUUGACUGUGAGACUGACAGGUCGAGCAGGGACGAAAGUCGGGACUAGUGAUCCGG